GUCUGAGUACUAUAUAAUAGUUAAAACUUUCAACAACGGAUCUCUUGGUUCUGGCAUCGAUGAAGAACGCAGCGAAAUGCGAUAAGUAAUGUGAAUUGCAGAAUUCAGUGAAUCAUCGAAUCUUUGAACGCACAUUGCGCCCUCUGGUAUUCCGGGGGGCAUGCCUGUUCGAGCGUCAUUACAACCCUCACGCUCUGCGUGGUUCUGGGC
rnacentral:rRNA from 1 species